rnacentral:lncRNA from 1 species
GGCAGGUAAGAGUUCACCCAGAUGGAGAAGAGAAGCCAUCCCAGGAAGAAGGAACUCUGUAUGCAAAGGCACGGAGUCAUGACAGUGUCACGUGUGAAAGGAAUGGCCUAAACACCUGCAGUUUGAAAACAAAGAAACUUAAAGCAGUGGUGAUCUGGCACAAUACAAUAAUCCAUAUCAUCCUUGUUGGUGCUUCCGUUCUUCAGUCGUGUGUUGACUCACCAGCCUCUGGAGUGCAUGACAAACUCCAUCUUCCACGAAGCUGCUCCCAUCUGUGAACAGAACGAGGUCAGCAUUGGACAAGGGUGUCAUUUGUAGGUCAGGGAGGCUACAAAAGAGCUCAUCGGUGACACUCAAGCAGUCAUGAUUGGGAAGGCCUAUCUCGGAGGGCAAGAAGGUAACAGAAUUUAAAGCUUUUACAGGAAUAAACCAUAAGCGGGGGUUCUCACAGAGAAGGGCUUGAUACUGAGUAACCUGAUUAUUUGAGAGCCAUUGAUGCCCUCUUGUGUUUAACAGUUCCAAGACCACGUGUGGAACCUGCACAGUAAGGUCCUGACCUAGAGUUAGCUUGUCUGCUUCUUGGAUUAAUAAAACUGAGGCUGCCAAGGCCCGAAGGGAAGGAGGCCACACGUUUGCUACUGGAUCUAAAUUUUUAGACAAGUAUGCCACUGGUUUAUUCCAUGGACCUACUUCUUGGGUUAAUACUCCAAGGGCCACAUGGUUCUUCUCAGUCACAUACAGAACAAAAGGCUGCUUUACAUCCAGUAUGCCUAAAGCAGGGGCAGCUGCUAAGGUCAGUUUUAUUUUUUUUUUAAAGUUUGUUUUUUUUCUAGAGCCCAAAGUAAAUGAUUUUUUUCUUUUCCCUUUAGGACUUCAUAAACAGGUUUAGUCAUCUCUGCAAAACCAGGAAUCCAAAUUUUACAGCAGCCUGUCGCCCCAAGAAGCUCCCUCAGCUGUCUCUUAUCUCAUUUAUCUUUCCUCUUAGCCCAUUCCUUGUCUUUCACUAACUCUCUAUUUAC